rnacentral:rRNA from 1 species
CUACGGGGGGCUGCAGUGAGGAAUAUUGCACAAUGGGGGGAACCCUGAUGCAGCAACGCCGCGUGGAGGAUGACGCAUUUCGGUGUGUAAACUCCUUUUAUAUGUCAAGAAAAUGACGGUAGCAUAUGAAUAAGCACCCGCUAACCCCGUGCCAGCAGCCGCGGUAAUACGGAGGGUGCAAGCGUUAGUCGGAAUCACUGGGCGUAAAGGACGCGUAGGCGGGUUGGAAAGUCAGGUGUGAAAUCCUACAGCUUAACUGUAGAACUGCACUUGAAACUUCUAAUCUAGAGUAUGGGAGGGGGAGAUGGAAUUAGUGGUGUAGGGGUAAAAUCCGUAGAUAUCACUAGGAAUACCUAAAGCGAAGGCGAUCUCCCGGAACAUUACUGACGCUAAGGCGUGAAAGCGUGGGGAGCAAACAGGAUUAGAUACCCGGGUAGUC